GACGUAGGGCGCGAGCGUUGUCCGGAUUUAUUGGGCGUAAAGAGCUCGUAGGCGGUGUGUCGCGUCGGCCGUGAAAACCUGGGGCUUAACUCUGGGCGUGCGGUCGAUACGGGCAUCACUAGAGUUCGGCAGGGGAGACUGGAAUUCCUGGUGUAGCGGUGAAAUGCGCAGAUAUCAGGAGGAACACCGGUGGCGAAGGCGGGUCUCUGGGCCGAUACUGACGCUGAGGAGCGAAAGCGUGGGGAGCGAACAGG
rnacentral:rRNA from 1 species